AUUUUCUCUAAGUAUUCUCUCAUCCAGUAAAAAGAUCUGUUCAUACCAGCUUAGUAUCUGUUACGCUCUGCAUCAAAGUACUAGAAUAUUAAACUCAUUUUUGCCUUAUGAUAGAGUGCUAAGAGCAUGCACUACCUCUGUCAUAGGAUUCCUUCUCACCUUCUAUCUCUCUGAAAGUGGUCAAAUGUCU